ACGGGUGCGGCGAAGAGAAAGCAGAUAUAACGCGUUCGCGACGAAAAAGUCACACUGGCUCGUCGCGCAGAGGUUAGCUCAUCCGACUUCUACGUUCGAGCACCAAGGCUUUGGAGGAUCGACUGUCCGAUCGUAUUGCUAAGGUUUUAUAGCCGGGCUUGACUUGACUGGGUUUGGCUAGCUUCUUCGUCCACCAUGGCUUCCUCCUCUAUGUCCCUGGUGUGCUCUUUGGUGGCGGUCGUGCUGCUGGCGGGGCUCUGCGGUGUACUGGGCUCAGCACGCUUCCCUACUGGGCGCGAGUGUGGUCAAAUGUGCGGUGGCUACGCGGGACUCGGGUGUGUGCCCGAGUGCCAUUGCGUUUACUACCCGGGUGACCUCGGUAUGUGCCUUCCGCACGGACAGAACGAGUCCGACCUGCCCAACUACGACAUGAUGUUUUUCUGAGGGGGACUCAGCUUUUUCUCCCGAAAAUAAAACUUUGUUCCACGGCA